UACAGAGGGUGCAAACGUUGUUCGGAAUUACUGGGCGUAAAGCGCAUGUAGGCGGCUUUGUAAGUCGGAUGUGAAAUCCCUCGGCUCAACCGGGGAAGUGCAUUCGAAACUGCAAGGCUGGAGUCUCGGAGAGGAAGGUGGAAUGCUUGGUGUAGAGGUGAAAUUCGUAGAUAUCAAGCGGAACACCGGUGGCGAAGGCGGCCUUCUGGACGAUGACUGACGCUGAGAUGCGAAAGCGUGGGUAGCAAACAGG
rnacentral:rRNA from 1 species